rnacentral:lncRNA from 1 species
GUUAGCGGCCAGGCCUGAACCCCAGUGGGAUAUUCUACUUCCCCAUCCCAGGAAUGGAGGGGGACUCCAGCGAAAUUACAGGGAAUUCGUGGUCACGGGACCGGCCUCCGCCAAUCGCUCGUCUGGGCCUGGUGGAAAACAGAGAGCAUUAUUUGGUUUAAUUGAUUCAAAAACACCAGAGGACCACGACCAGGACACCAUGAGCCCCCAUUCCUACACCAGUGCCUCACAUGCUCUCUCCCCAAUGCCUCCGUUUCUCCAGAAAAGCUAGAGGAACCUUUUCCUCAUCCCCUUCGAAGGAAAAGAUGAGUGAGGAUCUCCGCGUUGGAGGAAGAGGGAGUCGAAAGAGGCUUCCACUCUUUGAAAAAGACCCAAUGGUGGUUGGGCUUCGGGUCACGUGACACCUUCUUUGUGGCUCCGGAAGAGGAUUGUGAAGUUUAGGUUUCGUGGAAGAAACCGAUAAUUGAGGAAAAAAAAAAAUCAAGAUUUGGGGGGAAUUACCUACAAAGAUGUAAGGUGUGUUAAUUUGGGCGCUUCUUGGAUUCUACCCUGAGGAGGAGGCGCGUGGUGAGAGGAGAGCUCCACCAGCUGCGCGCUCGUGUACGCCGUCCGCGCCCGCUUGGACGCCGCCGACCCCGGGGGGCUCUUGUCCCCUCCCCCGCCGCCGCCGCCACCGCCCCCGCUGCCACCACUGCCUCCGCCGCCGCCGCCACCGCCGCCGCCACCACAGCCCUCUGCUGGAUCCGAGGGGGAGGGGUGGGAAGGGGAGAAAAUGAAAUAAAAGAUAAUUACUGAACACGCCGA